rnacentral:rRNA from 1 species
GACGAACGCUGGCGGCGUGCCUAAUGCAUGCAAGUCGAACGAGACCCCCAAGGCGGGUAACCGCCUAGGGGGAUCUAGUGGCGAACGGGUGAGUAACACGUGAGGCACCUGCCCCGGAGUCCGGGAUAGCCCAGGGAAACGUGGAUGAAUACCGGAUACCCUCGAUUGGUCACAUGUCCGGCCGAGGAAAAGUCCGCUGCUCCGGGAUGGCCACACGGCCUAACAGCUAGUUGGCGGGGUAACGGCCCACCAAGGCGACGACGGGUAGCUGGUCUGAGAGGCCUAUCAGCCACACUGGGACUGAGACACUGCCCAGACUCCCACGGGAGGCAGCAGCAGGAGAUAGUGCACAAUGGGCGAAAGCCUGAUGCAGCGACGCCGCGUUAGGGAUGAAGGCCUCCGGGUUGUAAACCUCUUUCAGGAGGGACGAAGCGAAAGUGACGGUACCUCCAGAAGAAGCCCCGGCCAACUACGUGCCAGCAGCCGCCGUAA